ACGUCAAUAAAGCUAGCAGUUUCAAUAAACCACAUCAAAAAGGUCUGAAGCCUUUCAUGAUAUUCUCGAAAGCCUCUACAUGUCAUGUCAGCCUAGGGAAAAAGCCAGGAAAAGCACCCUUCUGAACUCCAGUCACAGAGUAUACAUGCAUAACUACAUUUAUAUAAAGUUCUAAAACAGGCAAAACUCUUUUUUUUUUUUUUUUUUUUAAUGAAAGGAA